rnacentral:rRNA from 1 species
GAUGAACGCUGGCGGCGUGCUUAACACAUGCAAGUCGAACGAUGAAGCCCAGCUUGUUGGGUGGAUUAGUGGCGAACGGGUGAGUAACACGUGAGUAACCUGUCCUUGACUCUGGGAUAAGCCUGGGAAACUGGGUCUAAUACUGGAUAUGACUUCUCAUCGCAUGGUGGGGGGUGGAAAGAUUUAUUGGUCUUGGAUGGACUCGCGGCCUAUCAGCUUGUUGGUGGGGUAAUGGCUCACCAAGGCGACGACGGGUAGCCGGCCUGAGAGGGUGACCGGCCACACUGGGACUGAGACACGGCCCAGACUCCUACGGGAGGCAGCAGUGGGGAAUAUUGCACAAUGGGCGCAAGCCUGAUGCAGCGACGCCGCGUGAGGGAUGACGGCCUUCGGGUUGUAAACCUCUUUCGGUAGGGAAGAAGCGAGAGUGACGGUACCUGCAGAAGAAGCGCCGGCUAACUACGUG